AUUGAACGCUGGCGGCAGGCCUAACACAUGCAAGUCGAGCGGAGCGGCGGACGGGUGAGUAAUGCCUGGGAAUCUGCCUGGUAGUGGGGGAUCCCGUCCGGAACCGGGCGCUCAUCCCGCCUACUAUCAGAUCAGCCUAGGUCGGAUUAGAUAGUUGUUGGGGUAAAGGCCUACCAAGGCGACGAUCCGUAACUGGUCUGAGAGGAUGAUCAGUAACACUGGAACUGAGACACGGUCCAGACUCCUACGGGAGGCAGCAGUGGGGAAUAUUGGACAAUGGGCGAAAGCCUGAUCCAGCCAUGCCGCGUGUGUGAAGAAGGUCUUCGGAUUGUAAAGCACUUUAAGUUGGGAGGCGUUACCAACAGAAUAAGCACCGGCUAACGUCGUGCCAGCAGCCGCGGUAAUUC
rnacentral:rRNA from 1 species